rnacentral:rRNA from 1 species
UACGGAGGAUCCGAGCGUUAUCCGGAUUUAUUGGGUUUAAAGGGAGCGUAGGCGGGUUGUUAAGUCAGUUGUGAAAGUUUGCGGCUCAACCGUAAGAUUGCAGUUGAUACUGGCAUCCUUGAGUACAGUAGAGGUAGGCGGAAUUCGUGGUGUAGCGGUGAAAUGCUUAGAUAUCACGAAGAACUCCGAUUGCGAAGGCAGCCUGCUGGACUGUAACUGACGCUGAUGCUCGAAAGUGUGGGUAUCAAACAGG